AAUCAACGCUGGCGGCGUGCCUCAGACAUGCAAGUCGAACGCGAAAGUCCCCUUCGGGGGAGUAAGUAGAGUGGCGCACGGGUGAGUAACACGUAGGUAAUCUACCUUCGGGUGGGGAAGUAACCCAGGGAAACUUGGGCUAACACCGCAUAAUGCAGCGGCACCACAUGGUGACAGUUGUUAAAGCGGGGGAGUUUUCGGUACCUCGCGCCUGAAGAGGAGCCUGCGGCAGAUUAGCUUGUCGGUAAGGUAACGGCUUACCAAGGCGACGAUCUGUAGCCGGCCUGAGAGGGCGGUCGGCCACACUGACACUGACAUACGGGUCAGACUCCUACGGGAGGCAGCAGUCGGGAAUUUUGGG
rnacentral:rRNA from 1 species